rnacentral:rRNA from 1 species
GAUGAACGCUGGCGGCGUGCCUAAUACAUGCAAGUCGAGCGAACAGACGAGGAGCUUGCUCCUCUGACGUUAGCGGCGGACGGGUGAGUAACACGUGGAUAACCUACCUAUAAGACUGGGAUAACUUCGGGAAACCGGAGCUAAUACCGGAUAAUAUAUUGAACCGCAUGGUUCAAUAGUGAAAGACGGUUUUGCUGUCACUUAUAGAUGGAUCCGCGCCGCAUUAGCUAGUUGGUAAGGUAACGGCUUACCAAGGCAACGAUGCGUAGCCGACCUGAGAGAGUGAUCGGCCACACUGGAACUGAGACACGGUCCAGACUCCUACGGGAGGCAGCAGUAGGGAAUCUUCCGCAAUGGGCGAAAGCCUUACGGAGCAACGCCGCGUGAGUGAUGAAGGUCUUCGGAUCGUAAAACUCUGUUACUAGGGAAGAACAAAUGUGUAAGUAACUAUGCACGUCUUGACGGUACCUAAUCAGAAAGCCACGGCUAACUACGUG